rnacentral:rRNA from 1 species
GACGAACGCUGGCGGCGUGCUUAACACAUGCAAGUCGAACGGAAAGGCCCUGCUUUUGUGGGGUGCUCGAGUGGCGUACGGGUGAGUAACACGUGAGUAACCUGCCCUUGACUUUGGGAUAACUUCAGGAAACUGGGGCUAAUACCGGAUAGGAGCUCCUGCUGCAUGGUGGGGGUUGGAAAGUUUCGGCGGUUGGGGAUGGACUCGCGGCUUAUCAGCUUGUUGGUGGGGUAGUGGCUUACCAAGGCUUUGACGGGUAGCCGGCCUGAGAGGGUGACCGGCCACAUUGGGACUGAGAUACGGCCCAGACUCCUACGGGAGGCAGCAGUGGGGAAUAUUGCACAAUGGGCGGAAGCCUGAUGCAGCAACGCCGCGUGCGGGAUGACGACCUUCGGGUUGUAAACCGCUUUCGCCUGUGACGAAGCGUGAGUGACGGUAAUGGGUAAAGAAGCACCGGCUAACUACGUGCCAGCAGCCGCGGUGAUACGUAGGGUGCGAGCGUUGUCCGGAUUUAUUGGGCGUAAAGGGCUCGUAGGUGGUUGAUCGCGUCGGAAGUGUAAUCUUGGGGCUUAACCCUGAGCGUGCUUUCGAUACGGGUUGACUUGAGGAAGGUAGGGGAGAAUGGAAUUCCUGGUGGAGCGGUGGAAUGCGCAGAUAUCAGGAGGAACACCAGUGGCGAAGGCGGUUCUCUGGGCCUUUCCUGACGCUGAGGAGCGAAAGCGUGGGGAGCGAACAGGCUUAGAUACCCUGGUAGUCCACGCUGUAAACGGUGGGUACUAGGUGUGGGGUCCAUUCCACGGGUUCCGUGCCGUAGCUAACGCUUUAAGUACCCCGCCUGGGGAGUACGGCCGCAAGGCUAAAACUCAAAGGAAUUGACGGGGCCCCGCACAAGCGGCGGAGCAUGCGGAUUAAUUCGAUGCAACGCGUAGAACCUUACCUGGGUUUGACAUGGAUCGGGAGUGCUCAGAGAUGGGUGUGCCUCUUUUGGGGUCGGUUCACAGGUGGUGCAUGGCUGUCGUCAGCUCGUGUCGUGAGAUGUUGGGUUAAGUCCCGCAACGAGCGCAACCCUUGUUCACUGUUGCCAGCACGUUAUGGUGGGGACUCAGUGGAGACCGCCGGGGUCAACUCGGAGGAAGGUGGGGAUGACGUCAAGUCAUCAUGCCCCUUAUGUCCAGGGCUUCACGCAUGCUACAAUGGCUGGUACAGAGAGUGGCGAGCCUGUGAGGGUGAGCGAAUCUCGGAAAGCCGGUCUCAGUUCGGAUUGGGGUCUGCAACUCGACCUCAUGAAGUCGGAGUCGCUAGUAAUCGCAGAUCAGCAACGCUGCGGUGAAUACGUUCCCGGGGCU